AGUUAUUCGCUUUUAAAACCCUACUUCCUGGUUGAUUAACUGGCUCAAAUUAGCACGCGCUUUUUUAAUUUCAUGUAGAUAUUUGACACGAGAAAGAUAAAAAAAGGUCCUUAUUCUUCUAGAAAAGACAACUUCCCGCAAAAGACGAGAAAGUGGAGAUAAAUACAAGAGACGCAACGUGGUGGUGCGCUAACAGCCUGGAAGACAAAGACGGACACCAGUUAGACUGUGAGAGAGAGAGGAGGGACGGGAAUCAGGAAAGAUCUGGACUCUAACACAAGACAGCGGAAGCACAAAGACUCUACAUGUCGACGCUCUGGCCACGAGGCAGUCGGCCCAGCUUAAAGCCUCUAGCAUUAGCACGAGGAAGCGCUUCAUUGAACCGAACCAAGGCCGUGCCGUCUCCAACAUUACUGAGUCAACGGGGGUCAUGAGAAUAAAUCCUCUGAGGGGCUGAGGGCCGUGCUAACCAGCUAAUCCCUGACCCCUACGGUUCAGCACAGCGAUGCCAUGAACUGAUUCCAGAUCCGACGCGAACGGCUGUGGGAAGAUCUGACUGCAGGUCAGUGUGGAAAUGUACGAGGGUUCGGGGGAAUAAACAUGAACCACUGCAAGUCCCACAGUCUUCCUGGGCUUCACGGCUUGGAUGUUUCCUGAGGAAGGAGCCACAUGUGCUGCUGAUUACAGCGCUGAAUGCUAGCAGCUGGUGCGUGUGUUUACAAUCACUUUUUGUCUUUAUAUCGAAUUUAUCAUUGAAUUUCUUAGUAUGCAUCACCAAUGCGUGCAAAUAUCAAAAAUAUGGACGAAUUUACACCAAUCCGUAGUGACAAAGUAACAUUUUCAGUCGUCUGUAUAAGUGUCAUCGCUUACUGAGAUUUACUGAACUCUAAAGGCCUGUACACACCAAAGAUGAUAAAUAUAAUGACAAAAAAAGGUUUUACAGGUGAUGAUUGAUAAAAACAUUGACAGCCAAACAGAAUCUGAAGUU